GGGGUGAGGCACUCAAACAUGAUGCACUCAGCUUUUUUUGUUUCCCUGUCUGACCGUGAUUUGACGCAGCUCCUGAGGGAAAUAUCUGAAUGCUCAACUAUGUUCCCCAGCUACCUCGUCUGAGCUGCCUCUUGCAGCUGAAAACAAGUGACCCAUGCAGCCACACCAUGGCAACAAUGGCCGACAGUGUUCCACUGGAUAAGAAGAUACCUGGUGUUGAGACUUGAAUACCUGUCCGUCUGUCCCCAGUAACACGGCAGUGACCAGCGCUUUUCAGCACCUUUGGGACACACAUGCCUGGGUAUCUGAUUCCUGCACAUACCAAUACACGGAGGCUAUACGACGCAACCAGAAACCUCACGAGGAUUCAACACAAGGGUUUGGUGCAGAAAUAUUUUAUAAGCCAAGAAGAAAUGUUGUUCCAGGGGAGUGUAUUAGCAGAACUGUGUGGGUUUUAAGAGCUGCACUCUGGUGAUAAGACAUACAAUGGCCUCAAAUGAAAAGGAAUGUGAGAGAUGGAAGCUGAAUGUUGAUUAUUUUCAAACCAUUUAUUUGUUUAGUUUGUUUUCAAAUGGAUAUUGGCUUGUCAAAUACCACUUAUCACCAGUCUUGCAAUGCCCUGUAAGCUACUUUUGAAAAUAAUGCUCCCAUGCAUGAGUGCAAUCAACUAUUAGGUGUAGACAGAACAAUGCCCUGCUGGAAAAAACAGCAUAGACCAGCACCAAAAAAACAAAAAAAUGCUGUUUUUUUUCCAGCAGGAUGGUCACUUAUCAAAGUAAAAAUAACAUUCUGCAGACUUGCUCUCGGCUCUGUGAAGCUUCAUUUUCUGUAGUGACAGUGAUGUUGCAAUAUUUAA